CAUGACCAGAAUUCGGUUACCUGAGUAUGGAUUUCUCCUUGCUCGUAAGACGGAGGGAGGCAAUUUGCAGCUUUCGUUUUCGAUCAUUCGGCGAAUUCCCGAGAUUUCUUGUUUCCUGUUGAUUUUUAGGUAUGCGCCUUGGAGCUCUCGCUCGCUUGCUCGGGAUAUACACUACAUACUACAUACCACUGUAGAGCCUGUCUGUGAGCUCAUUGGCGGGUACUGGUGGGUGUCAGCGGCCUCAUGAGCAUUGUACGUAUUUCAUUAGCUCCCCGCCAACAUGUUGUCCAGGUCUGUCUUGAGAAUAUUGGCCUUUCAAUCAGAAUAAUGUGAACGGGCGCGUGGUCCCUGUCACUUGAAUCGGUGGGAGACCAAAUCCCAAUCCAAGAAGCCAUGGACGACGAUGGCUUCAGGGAACAUUCCAGCGGCCAAGUGGACGGAGGCAUUCAUUGAAUUGAACAAAACCCCUAAUCAGAGUGGCCAUUGGACGCGAAUCAUGAAUUCAUGAUCCUCUGACGGAAUAAGCCAACUACGUACUCGCAAAGUUAUGCCCGAUGUCUGACUUGCGAAACGCCACGACCAACAACAACCACAACAACUGUGGGUAAAGCCACUACCACAUCACAGUACAUAGAUGUACAUUAAAAGACGGGAGUACCGAGAUUUGACACGCAUCCAAAUCGAAUGCAAAACUCGAGGUUCCGAGUAACCAGAACAGCAUCACUGACCAACAAUCUGGCCUCGGUGAAUUAUGGAGGACUUCUUGAAAACUCGUUCAAAUGGGGGCUAUCACUAUCAACAUGAUCGCACCUCAACAGCAAUUUCUGGGUGAAACGAAUAUCCACAUGCCAACUACGCAAAAGGUACAGUAUGAAUGCAACCGUGCAUGCAUCAACGCUCAACAAAGAGAGAACGAGAGAAAGUGGCGAUCAAUUAACAAAGGCAUUGCAACCAACUAGGUCGGAUUAAAAAACCACCAAUGGCAUCUAAAAUCGGAAAGGGGUUCGAUUCCAACCAACUUAACACAUUUAUGGGAAGGGCUUGGACUCCCUUGUGGGUCGUCAUACCCGUGAACCGAGUGCCACAGUGUGAAGCAAAAAAUAGGAUUCCCCGCACACAUACAUACACAUACACACACAGGCACACUCAUACACUCGUACGCAGUGUACACAGUUAGAACAAGAGUCAACAUUGUAAAUGCAACUAUCAAACCCAACCGUCAAAAUGAGCGCCUUUGCUUUAUAAGGGACUCGAAUUAAUAGAGAGAGUAACCUUGGGAGCCCUGGGGUCAAACCUGGAUGGAAUCGACUCGGCCCAAGGACAAUUUGAUAUUUGGCCAAAUGGCAUUGGUUCUCGGAAUACCCGAAUAAUUGGACACGUUCGUAUAGGAGAACUCACGGGAGCCACCCAUCCUUCUUUCUCCAUACCAUAUCUUUCUAUCUAUCAAUCGAUCCAACCACUCCGCCAUCAGUCCUGUAUUGAUCAUGUUUAGAUAGAUGAGAUAACAUGACCGCAUCAGUGAACCACCCUAGGAUCGAUUAUUGUCGCAUAAAAAUAAUCAUCACUUGACACAAUAUUUUGUCAGAAGUCUCCCUCGUCGACAAUGUUGUGAGAUUUUGCUCACCCAUCACAUUCGAAAAAUCGGACUCCUCGCGAGUCUUUCCAGGGUCUCUAUUGAUGAGGGUGUAAGGGUACAGGUGCACCCUGUUGGGUUCGAACAAUUGCCAAGAGACGAAAAUAACGCCUCAUCAAGAUUUCUUUCUCGCACCCUGUGUUCCAAAGUGCUGGGGCCAACGAGACCCGAAAGUAUGACAAGCCUGGGAGGGCAUUUUUGGAGUGCCACCAUUCGUCCCAUUGAGAUCUGGAGAAGAUACCCACAUCCAUCCAACCACCCACUCACCCACCUUCGGUUCAACUGUGAGGGGGAGUAAAGACCCACCUACCCAAGAUAAGGGAUCAAGGGGCAGGUGCUUAAUAUAGAUGUCGCACACAUUUUCACCAAUUGGUAUUUCCAAUCAAGAUAUCUCAAGUAUUUUGUGGUC